CCACCCCCCCCCCCCCCCCCAAUUCGCCUCCUGAAUCCUUCUUCCCCCGCCCGGUUUCAUCCUGAUCGGUGCCCGUUUCAUGCUGUUCCGUGCGCGGAUUAGGGUUCUUGUGCUAGGAUCUUUGGGGGGUGGGCUGGUGUUGCUUGAUGGGUUUGUUCUUUCGUGUGUGUGAUCUGCCGUGGAAGGAAAGAGGAACAGAUUCUUCUCCUGAAGAAACCUUUACCAUUUCUGUCUGUGGGAUUGGCCCAUGGGAGAGGGGGGGUGUAGAAUAGUUAUUCUAGGGGAUAUAUAUUUGUAUGUAUAAAUACAUAUAUGUAUUACACACAUAUAAAUUAAAGCACUUAACAAUUUAUGUGCAUAUAUUACCAAAAUAUAUAUUUACACUAAACUAAAUGUGUACAUAUAUAAAUAUAUACAUAUAUUUACAAUUCCUUCGGACCCUAAAUAUAAUGUUUCUAUCAUAUGCUCGCUAGCUACGACUUCGACGCCGGUGUUAUCUCAGAAGAAGAAGGACCGACGGUAUGAAUUGUCGAUCCGUCGUAGUAGAAUUCACCCUCGGGAUCAAGGAUUUGUUCGUUGAUGAAUCCCAUCAGUUGUUCUUGAACAGCCGUGAUAAAAUCCACUUCAUCUUCUUCCAUUUGAACCCCUAGCUCUUCGUGCAAUGCCCAACACUUAUAGCUAGGCAUGAACCCCGACUCAAACAAGUGGAAAUGAAAACUUCUUAAUGCAGAAUACUCCUUCUGGUUUUUGCACUUAUUGCAUGGACAACAGAUAAAACCCUUAUGCUUGUUAGCAUCGGCCACUCUCAAAAAAUAAUGCACGCCAUCAAUAAACUCUUUCGACCGUCCUGUGCUGAAAUAUAUCUUACUUGUAUGGGAGCUAUGGAGUUCAAUUAUAUCUGCUCUAGUCAAUGUGAGAAAUACAAAACCUGUCGUAUUAAACAUUUUUGAAUGACUCCUAAUAGAAGAUAAAUGUGUAUGGAGUUCGACAGGUUUUCUAGUAAAAGAUUCAUAUGCUAGCACCGGACAGAUAUAUCCAUGAACCCAUGUCGACCAAUGGGGUUCCACCACGCGCCUAUAUAUAAUUGAGGUCUUCUUUCCCUUUGCCUCAACUCCACGCGAAGGGAAAAAGUCUUCCUCCUCACGAAUCCCACCUCAAUCUCCAUUUGCGCCGAUCCCUCGAGAGGCAGCUCCGAUGGCGCCCAAGGCAGAGAAGAAGCCGGUGGAGAAGAAGCCCAAGGCGGAGAAGCGGCUGUCGGAGUCGAAGGCGUCGUCCAAGGAGGGCGGCGCCGGCGACAAGAAGGGGAGGAAGAAGGCGAAGAAGAGCGUCGAGAUCUACAUCUUCAAGGUCCUGAAGCAGGUGCACCCGGACAUCGGCAUCUCCUCCAAGGCCAUGUCGAUCAUGAACUCCUUCAUCAACGACAUCUUCGAGAAGCUCGCGCAGGAGGCCGCCCACCUCGCCCGCUACAACAAGAAGCCCAUCGCCACCUCCCGCGAGAUCUAGACCUCCGUCCGCCUCGUCCUCCCCGGCGAGCUCGCCAAGCACGCCGUCUCCGAGGGCACCAAGGCCGUCACCAAGUUCACCAGCAACUAGCCUUAUCUCUCUAGGGUUUCGCCGCCAUAUGCUUCUCUCCUUCCCUUUCCCCUCUCGUUUGCUAGGUGGCAGUAGUUGCAAGCUUGUGUUUGCUUUGUAAAUUGUGCUUGAUCAUAAUGGACAGCUUGGAUUUGAUGUAAUAGACGUGGAGUGUUAUUUACUGUCGGUGGCUGAUUCGCAUCUCGUGUUUUUUUCUCUCUUAUGCGAUUGCAAUUUGGGGAUCUAGGGUUUGAGGCGGGGGGCUCUGUACUUCUGGAGAUGAUGCUGCGAGGUGGGCGGCUGGCUGGCUUGGCCUCUCGGAUGGUUGGAGCCAAGCCUUUCAGCACGGAGAUAUUUGUGAGCAUUUCGCUUGUCAUGAUCUGUCCGUCAGAACUUCAUGAGUGAUGAUCUGGUGUGAUUCUGGGGGGUGUGGUGGAUGAAAUGAGCACUAAAUGGGCUAUCAUUUUACACAACAGAGGAAGAACUUAAAAAUGUCUUCUCACCAUUUGGCGCUGUUGAGGAAGCUCGAUUGGUGAGAGACAACCAAACUGGAAGGCCAAAGGGAUUUGGUUUUGUUAAAUAUUCUUCUCAAGCAGACGCAGAGAAAGCUGUUAAGGCAAUGGAUGGACGGAUCAUACGUGGAAGACUAAUUUUUGUGGAAAUUGCAAAAGAAUAAAACUGCAUAGGGCAUAGUCUAUCACCAUCGUUGCUGAACUGGAGCAGUUUUCCUGCCUUAAAGCGUACUCGUACAUGACUACAUGGCUAAUCUGGCUUAGUUCCAACAAGACCUAUGAGCACUUCUCCCGGCCUGAAUGCGUACUUUUGUGACUUCUGUUGAGCCAAGUAUUGGUUUGCGAACAACAUUGUUUGUUUUUUAAAGACAAAGAAAGCUUUCAAACAGGAAAAUUGUUGUUGGAAGGUUAAGUUGAAUUUAUGAACCCGAGCUGGAAGGUUA